UAUAUAUAUAUAUAUAUAUAUAUAUCUAGAAUCAAAUAAAAUAUAUUGAUAUUUGGCUGUACCCAAAUUUUUAUCGGCCUGAUUUUUCUUUAUUUUUUAUAGUUCUUAACCAAAAUUAACAUUUUUGAGGGUGAAUCAACCAACUCUUGAAUAACCUACACACAAUGUUUGAAUUGUGUGCAUACAUAUACGCAGCUAUGACACAGAGAGAAAUGGCUUUGUAUGAUUUAGUUAUGCAUAUCUUCUAAAUGAAUGCUACCUCUUUACACAUGCUCAUUAUUGUUCAUGUCUAAGUUGUUAAAGUUAUACAUUUUUUUGUUGAACAUUGAAUGUUUCAGCAUUCAGUAUUUGUUUUGUUUAUUUCAGUGUUUUAGUUGUAUAGAAGAUAAUACUUCACUUCCUAUCCCAUGCAGCUCAUAGUGUUCUCACUCUCAUUGGUUCAUCUCAAUUGAUUGCAAUAGAAGCUGUCUUGUUGUUACAUACAUAUAUGCUAUGUGUUGAUAAAAUAGUUGAACAUUGUUUGUGUACAUAAGUUGAUAUACUUUUGAUUUUGACAAAUUAAAAUUUAAACAAAAU